AUUGAACGCUGGCGGCAGGCCUAACACAUGCAAGUCGAACGAGUGGCGGACGGGUGAGUAAUGUCUGGGAAACUGCCUGAUGGCGGGGGAUAACUACUGGAAACGGUAGCUAAUACCGCAUACCAUUGGAUGUGCCCAGAUCGGAUUAGCUAGUCGGUGGGGUAAAGGCUCACCUAGGCGACGUUCCCUAGCUGGUCUGAGAGGAUGACCAGCCACACGUGAACUGAGACACGGUCCAGAUUCCUACGGGAGGCAGCAGUGGGGAAUAUUGGACAAUGGGCGCAAGCCUGAUUCAGCCAUGCCGCGUGUAUGAAGAAGGCCUUCUGGUUGUAAAGUACUUUCAGCGGGGAGGCGUGACCCGCAGAAGAAGCACCGGCUAACUCCGUGCCAGCAGCCUCGGUAAUUC
rnacentral:rRNA from 1 species